rnacentral:rRNA from 1 species
UACGAAGGGCGCAAGCGUUAUCCGGAAUUAUUGGGCGUAAAGAGCUCGUAGGCGGUUUGUCGCGUCUGCCGUGAAAGUCCGGGGCUCAACUCCGGAUCUGCGGUGGGUACGGGCAGACUAGAGUGAUGUAGGGGAGACUGGAAUUCCUGGUGUAGCGGUGAAAUGCGCAGAUAUCAGGAGGAACACCGGUGGCGAAGGCGGUGGUCUGGGCCAUUACUGACGCUGAGGAGCGAAAGCCAGGGGAGCGAACGGG